rnacentral:rRNA from 1 species
AAAGAAACCAACAGGGAUUGCCCCAGUAACGGCGAGUGAAGCGGCAAAAGCUCAAAUUUGAAAUCUGGCUCCGUUCCGGGGUCCGAGUUGUAAUUUGCAGAGGAUGCUUUGGGUGCACCCGCGGCGUAAGUCCCUUGGAACAGGGCGUCACAGAGGGUGAGAAUCCCGUCUUGAGUCGCUGGCGUGUGCCCGUGCAAAGCUCCUUCGACGAGUCGAGUUGUUUGGGAAUGCAGCUCUAAUUGGGUGGUAAAUUUCAUCUAAAGCUAAAUACUGGCCGGAGACCGAUAGCGAACAAGUAGAGUGAUCGAAAGGUUAAAAGCACCUUGAAAAGGGAGUUAAAUAGCACGUGAAAUUGUUGAAAGGGAAGCGCUUGCAGCCAGACUCGGGCGCGGAGGCUCAGCGGGCAUGUUUGCCCGUGUACUCCUUCGCGCCCGGGCCAGCAUCAGUUUUGGCGGCCGGUCAAAGGCCCCCGGGAUGUAUCGUCCUCCGGGACGUCUUAUAACCGGGGGUGCAAUGCGGCCAGCCGGGACUGAGGAACGCGCUCCGGCACGGAUGCUGGCGU